UAUGACAUGCAUUUUAGGGCCAAACAUACUCUUUAGUUACACUACAAGUAAUUGGUUAUAAAUUUAUAAUAUGCUCAUGUCAAAAUGAAUAAGUGAACAACCAUUAAUACAUGUAUACAAAAUAUGACAUGCAUUUUAGGGGAGUUAAUUACUGUUUUAGUCCCUGUGGGCCAAACAUACUCUUUAGUUACAUUACAAGUGCUUUUAAAGAUAUCAUUGUAAUGGUUUGAAUGCCCCAUUAUAAAUGUAUUUUCCUUUAUACGUUAGAGCUCGACUACUUGAACAUCGUUGUAACAUUAUUGUAAUGUUAUAUGAAGUUAUGAACACCCAAUAUACAUCGUUAUUU
rnacentral:lncRNA from 1 species